rnacentral:rRNA from 1 species
AUUGAACGCUGGCGGCAGGCCUAACACAUGCAAGUCGAACGAGUGGCGGACGGGUGAGUAAUGUCUGGGAAACUGCCCGAUGGAGGGGGAUAACUACUGGAAACGGUAGCUAAUACCGCAUACCAUCGGAUGUGCCCAGAUGGGAUUAGCUAGUAGGUGGGGUAACGGCUCACCUAGGCGACGAUCCCUAGCUGGUCUGAGAGGAUGACCAGCCACACUGGAACUGAGACACGGUCCAGACUCCUACGGGAGGCAGCAGUGGGGAAUAUUGCACAAUGGGCGCAAGCCUGAUGGAGCAACGCCGCGUGAGUGAAGAAGGUUUUCGGAUCGUAAAGCUCUUUUGUCAGGGAAGCGGUAUCUUACCAGAAAGCAACGGCUAACUACGUGCCAGCAGCCGCGGUAAUAC